rnacentral:rRNA from 1 species
UUCGCUGACGAGUGGCGGACGGGUGAGUAAUGUCUGGGAAACUGCCUGAUGGAGGGGGAUAACUACUGGAAACGGUGGCUAAUACCGCAUAACGUCGCAAGACCAAAGAGGGGGACCUUCGGGCCUCUUGCCAUCAGAUGUGCCCAGAUGGGAUUAGCUUGUUGGUGAGGUAACGGCUCACCAAGGCGACGAUCCCUAGCUGGUCUGAGAGGAUGACCAGCCACACUGGAACUGAGACACGGUCCAGACUCCUACGGGAGGCAGCAGUGGGGAAUAUUGCACAAUGGGCGCAAGCCUGAUGCAGCCAUGCCGCGUGUAUGAAGAAGGCCUUCGGGUUGUAAAGUACUUUCAGCGGGGAGG